ACCCUGGUAUAUUUUCUGAGUACAAUCUACAAAACUAGAUAGAGAUUAACAUCUAUGUAUCAGCUUUGAGUAAGUUACACAUUUUCAUUAUCAAAUAAGAAAAAUACCUCUCUCAUUGCCCCCCAAAUUAUCCAGGGGACCAUCAGCAAACUGCCCCUUUUUUCCCAGUGGACAGUGUUGAUGCCUGAAACCUCUUUAAAUGUGGAAGCUGCCAGCCAGGUCAUGCUGAAUGAAGCAUAGAUAAAAUACAGAAUAGAAUGUAAAAAUUGGUGUGAAAUUCUUGCAUUCCUUUGAGGAAUGAGCAGGUUUGACUACUUGCAUCAGGUGGAACUGCAGAAAAACUAUCCCAAAAAUAAUGACAUAUAUAAAACAGGAUUUGCACCAGAGAUCACUUUUCUCCCUGAGGUAAGAAAUGCCCUUUUUCAAAAAGUCUUGACCGAUCAUUAAUUUAUUUGGGUUUAUCUUUUGAAGGAAAAUAUCGGAUGCAUCAGGAAAUAUUCCUAAACAUGAAAUGAGACUAAUGGCUGAUCCAAAAUGGAGUCUUCUGGGAACUCCAAAACAAAAUGGAAAAAAUGGAAACACAAACUAAAUCACAUUUUUGUUGAUAAAUCACAAAUCAGGUUGGACUCAUGUGAUCCGGAGGAACUCCAGAAGACCUUUGCCUCAUUUCUCUCAUAUAUCAUGCAACCGCACCAUUCAUAUUUAUGGCUGAGUCAAUUUUAGUAGGAAGGCUUUUUCUAGUUGUAAAAAGCAGCACCCUCUUGACAAUUGGUUUUGAGUGACUGGGAUGAACUCUCAACGCCCAGCAAACAAAAGCAAAAACCUCAAUUUAGAAAAAUUGCCCUUACUCUGAUAUUAGCAUCAUUGUUCUCUUGACAUAAAAGUAAGGAAACUUUGGUCCGCCAAAGAACCUGAAUCACUAUCAUCUGAUUUUCCUGAGGUUUUUUUUACUCCUAGCAUGGCUAUUGAUAAGGGAUUAUGGAAACUGUGGGCCAAAACACAGAGAAGGGCAGAGUUUCAAAUCCUACUAUUUUAAAGCAAUUUUCAGCUUCUCACCACAAGAUUGCUAGCUGCAGUUUGCUUGAUUAUGGUCUUUGCUGAUAUGCCCAGGGUAGCACUGAUUGCCAGUUUUGGGGUCAGGAAGGAAUUUUCCUCCAGAUCAAAUUGGCCGGAGAUCCUGGAGGUUUUUUGCCUUCCUCUGGGCAUCCGGCAGGGGUCAUGCAUUAGGGCAAUCAUAAUGAUUAAAAAUACUGUAUAAUGAAUAUGUAUUUGAAAGAAGCCAUAAACAAAAGGAAAACUUUUUAAAACUUUAAACAGUUUUCUUUUUAAAAAGGAAAAAAAUGAAAUAUUAAAUAUUAUAUAUAUAAACCUUAUAAACAUUUUGUUUGUCUGUUUUUAUCCUAUCCCAAAUUGAUUUUUCUUGCCUCUCUGUCCCUAUACCAAACAACCACCAUUAUAUUCUUGUGGCAAGCCAUAUUUGAGACUCAUAUGUUGUAAAAUGUAGUCCUCUUUUUUAUUUUGUAUCAAUGAAUCUCCUCAAGCUAAGAGUUUUGAUUCCAAAGCACACACUGAGUGACUCUGCAUGUACAUCAUCCAGGGCAAGACAGCCUGGAAAUAACGCACUCAUAGUAAAACCAUCCGUGUAUGAAACGGGACAGGCAAAGUGCUACAUCCAAAGCUAACAUCUGAAAAAUACAAUUAUAAUAUUAACACAUUAUUUUCA
rnacentral:lncRNA from 1 species